rnacentral:lncRNA from 1 species
CUGGUUUUCUCUUUCAGCAGCUCUGAAAAGGAAUUUCUCCAAGCCAGAUGUGAAUAUCCCUGGAAUCCAAACCAUCACCAGCUUGUUGCAGUGCUCUC